rnacentral:lncRNA from 10 species
UUUUGGUCCCAGGUGCCUACAGGCUAGAGUGGCUGACUCCAGCUGCCGAUAUGGUAACUGCCCCUCCUUCCUGGAACUCAGUCCCUCUCAGGCGCUGUCACCAGCCUGCCACUGCUUGCUGGGUAGAAUUCUAAGCCAGUGGGUCUUGUGAGGCCCCAUGGGAGUGGAGUCCAACAGGAAGAUGCCUCCCUGUAUUGAGCCCCCUUUUUAGGGGAAUGCCUGGGACCUCUUCCUUGCCGGAAUUCCCAGGACUGGAGAAUGCAAAACUCCUGGAUUUUCCUCCAUGCCCGAGUGAACAAGCGGCUGCUCCACCAAGACUCCACAAAGCUCUAUGCUUUGGACCAAGGCCCUGGUGACCUGGGCUCAGGAGAGGAUAUCCUGAUACACAGGUUGCAAAGAUCCAUAGGGAAGGCGUGGCUUCCUGGGCAGGGUGGCACAAAGACUCACCACCACCCUUGGCUGUGUGUGGGGACUCCAUGGCUUCCUGAUGCUCCCAGGUAUCGCAUCAGAAGAUUUAUCUACAAAAUAUGCAUGAAUAAAGAGAGGAAAUUCUUGAAUACACAGAGAUUGAAGACAGGAAAAAUCUGAGCCAGAUAUUGUUGGUUGCAUCAUGGAUCCAGAAUCUGCAGAUACAGAGGCCAACUGUCCUUUUCAUUUCCCUAUGUUCUUCAGCUUACCUUCACAUGGUAGAUGCCCAGGAAAGACCCUGAAACUUAUGAAAGGUAGCAAGAUUUCAAGCUAUGUUCUCCUCUCCUCUAGAGCACCUUGUAAAUACAGAAGACAGGUGUGAUGCAAACAGACAUGACAAUGUCAGGGGUGUUGAUAGCCACAGAAGUUGGCAGAUUCUAAAAUCCACAUGGAAAAACAAAGGAUCCAGAAGAACAAACAAAAAACACUGAUAAAGAAGAACAAAACUGGAAGUCUUAUACAUCCUGCUUUUCAACUUCACUGCAAAGCUACAGUAAUGAAGGCAGCCUGCUACUGGCAUAAGAAGAGACACAUAGAUCAAUGAAGUAAAAUUGACAGCUCAGAAAUGAACCCUUACAUGUAUAGUUAAUUGAUUUUCAACAAGAAUGCUUAGACUAUUAAAUGAAGUAAAAUGGUCUUUUCUUCAACAAAUAAUGCCAGGACAACUGAAUAUUCAUGCUAAAGAAUCAAGUUGGAUCCUUAUCUCUCACUGUUACCAAAAUCAACUCAAAAUGAAUAAUAAACCCAUGUGUAGGAACUGAUACUCUUGGAAUAAAACUUUGAAGUAAUGUUUGUGAUUUUGAGUUAGUUUUCUUAGAUAUGACACUAAAAUCAGGAUAUAAAUUGUACUUCAUCAAAACUUAAAACUUUUAUGCUUCAAAGAACACCAGCAAGAAAGUCAAAAGGUAACUCACAGAAUGUCAGAAAAUAUGUGCAAAUGACAUAUCUAAUAAGGGACUGAAAUCCAAAAUGCAUAAAGAACUAUCACAACUCAGUUACAAAAAGACAACCCAAUUUUUAAAAUGAGCAAAAGAUUUGAAUGAUCAUUUCUUCAAGGAGAUAUACAAUUCAACAAUAAGUACUGAAAAGUUGCUCAAGUCAAUUAGUCAUUAGGUAGAUGCAAAUCUAUGCCACAAACAGCGCUUUCUACUUGCUAGGAUGACUACAAUGAAAAGACAGUAACAAGUCUUGGCAAAGAUGUGGAGAAAUUGGAUCAGCACAUUGCUGACGGGAUUGUAAAACAGGGCCAUGACUUUGGAAAACAGUUUAACAAUUCCUCCAAAUAUUAAACAUGUAGUUAUCUUUAUAACCCAGCAAUUGCACUUCAAUAUGUAUGUGCCCAAGAGAAAGGAAAACAUAUGUCUACACAAAAGCUUGUACAAGAAUGUUCAUAGCAGCAGUAUUCAUACUAGUCAAGAAAGUAUAAAGAAAUCAAAAUGUGGUAUAUCCAUACAUAGGAAGUUAUAUAGCAAUAAAAUGGAAUGAAGUGUUAAUAUUUGCUAUAACACAGACGAACUUGGAAAACAUUACACUAAAUAACUGAAGCUAGUGAUGAAAGGCCAGAUACUACAUGAUCUCAUUUAUAUAAAAUAUUCAGAAUAGGCAAAUCCAUAAAGACAGAAAGAAAGAUUAGUAUUUGCUAAGGGCUGGGAGUUGGAGUAGGGAGAAUGAUGAGUGAUUGCUAGUGUAUAUAGGUUUUUUUGGUGUAGUGGUAAUAAAAAUGUCCUCUAUUGGAUACUGGUAAUAAUUGCAUAACACUAAAUAUUCUAAAAAGCACUAAAUUGGUUUUCAGAGGGCAUAAAGGGGAGGCAGAAGCAGAGGAAGAGAGAGACAGAGAGAAUGAAGGAGAGGGAAGGGAUGGACCUUAAAAAAAUACAGAGAGAAAUGACAGGACAUCUAAAACUAAUGACAACUAGAAUGACAGCUGACUUCACAUCAGCAGGAAUAAAAAAAUCACCUAUGAAAAAAAUAUAUAUGUAUAUGUAUAUGAUAGAGAUGCUACUGUAAAAAAUAAAAUAGGGAAAGGAUGGAUUGUUUUUUAAAAAUUACUGUUCCAUUACCUAGCUAUAUACGUGAUUUGAAACUUAAAACUAGAUCCCUGCUCACAACAUAGAGAACGUUUAAAGACUAAAAUUUGAAAAGCAAAUUUUUAAAAUUUAAAAUUGUAACAUAUAUUAUAUAUAAUUAAAAUGUUAUUUUCCAUAUAAACUUUAUAUACAUUAUAUGUUGUGUGUGUGCAUAUAAAAUCAUGAAGCGAAUAUGUAAAAAAUAAAACAUCUGGGUAAUAAGUACCUGAUUGCCUCAU